rnacentral:snRNA from 1 species
UCUAAGUCAGAAUCCGGGCUAGAAGCGACG